CCUACGGGCGGCAGCAGUGGGGAAUAUUGCACAAUGGGGGAAACCCUGAUGCAGCGACGCCGCGUGAGUGAAGAAGUAAUUCGUUAUGUAACGCUCUAUCUGUAGGGAAGAAAAUGACGGUACCUGAGUAAGAAGCCCCGGCUAACUACGUGCCAGAAGCCGCGGUAAUACGUAGGGGGCAAGCGUUAUCCGGAUUUACUGGGUGUAAAGGGAGCGUAGACGGCAGUGCAAGUCAGAGGUGAAAGGCGGGGGCUCAACCCCAGGACUGCUCUGGAAACUGUACGGCUAGAGUGCAGGUGAGGUAGGUGGAAUUCCUAGUGUAGCGGUGAAAUGCUUAGAUAUUAGGAGGAACACCAGUUGCGAAGGCAGCUUACUGGACUGUAACUGACGUUGAGGCUCGAAAGCGUGGGGAGCAAACAGGAUUAGAUACCCCAGUAGUC
rnacentral:rRNA from 1 species